ACUCAACACGUAUUCUUUAAAAAGGGUGAGUUUUAGUUGUAAAAGCGUGCCGUCUUAGAGCGGAUACUUGAUCAGCUUGUUAGCCCUAUACUUAUUUUAAGGAGUUU
rfam:Gillisia limnaea DSM 15749 genomic scaffold Gilliscaffold_1, whole genome shotgun sequence.